rnacentral:tRNA from 1 species
GGGCGUAUCGUCUAAUGAUAAGAUGACAGAUUGCAAACCUGUAGACUUGAGUUUGAUUCUCAAUAUGCCCUCCA